rnacentral:misc_RNA from 1 species
GAUGAAGAACGCAGCGAAAUGCGAUAAGUAAUGUGAAUUGCAGAAUUCAGUGAAUCAUCGAAUCUUUGAACGCACAUUGCGCCCGCCAGUAUUCUGGCGGGCAUGCCUGUUCGAGCGUCAUUUCAACCAUCAAGCCCCCGGCUUGUGUUGGGGACCUGCGGCUGCCCGCAGGCCCUGAAAACCAGUGGCGGUCACGCUGUCACACCGAGCGUAGUAAGCAUUAUCUCGCUCAGGGCGUGCUGCGGGUUCCGGCCGUUAAAUGAAAAGCCUUCGUAGCCCAAGGUUGACCUCGGAUCAGGUAGGAAGACCCGCUGAACUUAAGCAUAUCAAUAAGCGGAGGA